GGAAUCCCCAGCCAGGAAGUCAGGCAGGCUGUUGUUGAUCUGAACAGGGGAGCAGGCAGCACGCAGAAAAGCAGAGUGUUGGAUCAGGAGUUUACAAGCAGCAGGAUGCCCCCGACACACCCACGCUGCAGGCCCACUAUUGAGUCCCAGUGUCUCAUGGUGUGCUGAUGUAACUGUGGAGUCCUGCCUGCCUGCCUGCCUGCCUGUGUGUUGCGCUGGAGAACCAACCUGAUGGCCGUGUCAGAAAGUCACGUCUUCACUGGAGCGUUUGUUUUAAAUCUCCUAGCUGUAAUGAUUAAAGUCUUCUAUUUGAACGCUACUUCAGUGCUGUAUUACAUAAUUGAAUCUUACAGUAGGUAUGAGCAUUGACCCGUGUGUAGGCUUGCUGGGUUUGCUAUGGGAAUGUAAAGGUUGGACUCACCACAGGGGCUGUGUAAAGUCUUGUCAGCCUGUUCGACACACACAGGCGACUCUCACC